rnacentral:pre_miRNA from 1 species
UGUCUCUGUUUAAAAAGUGUGUAUAUUGUCUGACAUGGCUAGUUUCGCAACUAGCCAUGUCAGACAAUAUACACACUUUUUAAACAGAGACA